rnacentral:rRNA from 1 species
AGAGUUUGAUCCUGGCUCAGAUUGAACGCUGGCGGCGUGCCUUACACAUGCAAGUCGAACGUGAAAGUACCUUCGGGUAUGAGUAAAGUGGCGCACGGGUGAGUAACGCGUGGAUAAUCUACCGGGAAGUUCGGAAUAACAGCUGGAAACGGUUGCUAAUACCGGAUACACUACAUAUAAACGUAUGUGGGAAAGACGGCCUCUGCAUAUGCUGUUGCUUUCCGAUGAGUCCGCGUACCAUUAGCUAGUUGGUGGGGUAAAGGCCUACCAAGGCGACGAUGGUUAACUGGUCUGAGAGGAUGAUCAGUCACACUGGAACUGGAACACGGCCCAGACUCCUACGGGAGGCAGCAGUGGGGAAUAUUGCGCAAUGGGCGAAAGCCUGACGCUGCGACGCCGCGUGAGGGAUGAAGGUCUUCGGAUCGUAAACCUCUGUCAGCAGGGAAGAACGGUCACUGUGCUAAUCAGCAGUGAAUUGACGGUACCUGCAAAGGAAGCACCGGCUAACUCCGUGCCAGCAGCCGCGGU